rnacentral:rRNA from 2 species
UGUUUCGGCUAGGGGGUCAUCCCGACUUACCAACCCGAUGCAAACUGCGAAUACCGAAGAAUGUUAUCACGGGAGACACACGGCGGGUGCUAACGUCCGUCGUGAAGAGGGAAACAACCCAGACCGCCAGCUAAGGUCCCAAAGUCAUGGUUAAGUGGGAAACGAUGUGGGAAGGCACAGACAGCCAGGAUGUUGGCUUAGAAGCAGCCAUCAUUUAAAGAAAGCGUAAUAGCUCACUGGUCGAGUCGGCCUGCGCGGAAGAUGUAACGGGGCUAAACCAUGCACCGAAGCUGCGGCAGCGACACUAUGUGUUGUUGGGUAGGGGAGCG